GUAUACGCCCUUCGGGGGAAAGAUUUAUCGGAGAUGGAUUGGCCUGCGUUAGAUUAGAUAGUUGGUGGGGUAAUGGCCUACCAAGUCUACGAUCUAUAGCUGGUUUGAGAGGAUGAUCAGCAACACUGGGACUGAGACACGGCCCAGACUCCUACGGGAGGCAGCAGUGGGGAAUCUUAGACAAUGGGCGCAAGCCUGAUCUAGCCAUGCCGCGUGAGUGACGAAGGCCUUAGGGUCGUAAAGCUCUUUCGCCAGGGAUGAUAAUGACAGUACCUGGUAAAGAAACCCCGGCUAACUCCGUGCCAGCAGCCGCGGUAAUACGGAGGGGGUUAGCGUUGUUCGGAAUUACUGGGCGUAAAGCGUACGUAGGCGGAUUAGAAAGUAUGGGGUGAAAUCCCGAGGCUCAACCUCGGAACUGCCUUGUAAACUACUAGUCUAGAGUUCGAGAGAGGUGAGUGGAAUUCCAAGUGUAGAGGUGAAAUUCGUAGAUAUUUGGAGGAACACCAGUGGCGAAGGCGGCUCACUGGCUCGAUACUGACGCUGAGGUACGAAAGUGUGGGGAGCAAACAGGAUUAGAUACCCUGGUAGUCCACACCGUAAACGAUGAAUGCCAGACGUCGGGGGGCUUGCCCUUCGGUGUCACACCUAACGGAUUAAGCAUUCCGCCUGGGGAGUACGGUCGCAAGAUUAAAACUCAA
rnacentral:rRNA from 1 species